GCGCCGGGUCGGCCCCAGCUCCUGCCUCGGUGGGUGAGCCGUGUGCCCCGCCAGCUCCCAGCAUUCCUGGCGCAUCCGUGGCCUUUGGUUUCUGUCAAAAUCGCCCACAGUUUGCAGAUUCUAAAGAGGACUCCGGCCCCUGUCGGCCGUGGCUGCUGAGACUGGCGGGGACCCGUCCAGGCGGGAGGCAUGGGCUCGGGAAAGACCUGUUUGUUGAAUGAGUAUGUGGGCGGAGAGAGACAGGUGGUUGACGUCUCUGAAUGGAGUCGUUUUAUGAUUAUACAAAUAAUCUCCGUCCUGUGUGAGACUGAACGCAACACAGAGACGCAGAAGGAAGAAACCAGGCUCCCAGCCCCCGAGGAGGCUGCCAGGGACGCGGUGGGGCCACCUCCUCCCCCAGGCUUUGCAUCCUGUCUGGGUUUUCCACUUAGCAUUUUCAAGUCUAUUAAAUAUUCGUGGAAAGCUGGGGUUUUGUGGCAGAAUCUUUCAAAUGCAUCUUAUCAAAGCGUGUGCACGGAUUUCAGUCUUUUUGCACCAACUGGCGACGACGCGUCUGGGCAGAGUCCAGCGUGGCCGAGCCUCCGGCCGCUGGCGGGGCUCCAGCGGGAGCAGCACCCGCCCGCUGCACAGCAGCCGGUCCCCGCCAGGCCCCCCGCGGAGCCGUCCACGUCCAUGACGGCCUCCCGAGAUCUGUUCCUGACUGGCGGAGUGUGUUCCCCGGAGCCUUAUGUGAGUGGCACUGGGAAGGUGAAGCCCACGCCAGCGGGGCCCAGGGACGCGCUGGUGGGGGGGUUGGGGCGGAGCCCCGCGGCUGCUGUUAGAAGAGGGACACAGCCCGUGCACCCCGUCUCACGCCAGGGCCCUGCGCUGGCUCCAGACUGCCAGCAGGGAGCCUUGGCCAGGCGAGCCCCGACCUUGCACCUGUUAGCCAAGCAAACCUUUCUUUACGCAUUAGCCGGCCUCGGGUACUGCACUGCCCAGCGAAAGACUGGCUGCGGGCCUGGGACGGGGAGACCAGCUCCGCUCGCGCCAUCGAUCAGGCUCCGGGUUCGGCAGCGCAGCCACUCCCCGCCUGGUCUCCGCAGAGCCACGAGUGCCCCAGGUCCCCUGCUCCCUCAGGAGGCCGGGCAGCAGAGUGGUCACCGCCGGGCGUCCACCACCGCCGUCCUCGGAGCAGGAGGGACUGAAGAAUUGAACUCUCGGAACCCCAAGUGCGUGACUCCGCUGUGGGCAGGAGCAGGCACACAGCUGGGCGGGGGCCUCGUGCAGGGGUCAGCACCAGAGCUGGCAGCCCAUGAGGGCGCUGGCUCGAGCCGGGCUGCUCCGCUUCCGGUUCACCUCCCUGCUGAUGCACCUGGGACAGCAGUGGAAAACGACACAGGAGCUUGGGCCCUGCACGCACACGGGAGACCCGGAGGAAGCUCCUGGCUCCUGGCUUCAUCCUGGCCGAGCUACAGCCAUGGUGGCCAUCUCUCUGUAACUCCAUAUUUCAAAUAAAUAAAUAAAUCUUAGGAAAAAGGAAAACAGCCCAGGAGGCCUUGGGCAUUGAGGGCGGAGCUUGCUCUGCCCUGUCCCUGGGGUGAGGGGUCCCCGUUUUCCCCCAACGCGUUACACAUCGAGCCCAGAUCAAAACGGCCCUCGCACGACCUCCUGUCCUGGCCCUGCUACCCGAGCGGCAGCUUCGCUAUGUUAAAGGGGGCUCUGGCGACCCCCGAGACUGCGCUGUUCAGGGCCCAGCACGACCGUCCUCAG
ensembl:lncRNA